GCAGGAACUGAGACGCUGGAAAACCACU
rnacentral:piRNA from 1 species